GGCGCCAGAAGCGCUGAGGCUCUGUGAGCGCAUGCGGCCGUCUGGAAAGCGUGGGCCUAGGUCAUUGGGCCGUUGCUGCCACUUGCUGUUGGUUUCGAAUUCAGAAAUGGCUUGGCUGGAUGGUUCUGGCUCAGUGUCUGUCAUGAAGUUGCAGUGCAGAUGUCAGCUGGGAUUCAAGUCACCUGAAUGCUUGGCUGGCACUGGAGGAUCCACUUCCAAAACGGCACACCACAUGGCUGGUGGCGGAAGGCCUCAGUUCCCUACCACUGGAGUCUCUCUGUAGAGCUACUUAGGUGUCUUUCUGACAGGGCAGCUGGCUUCCCCCAGAACAAGUGACCUAGAGCAGCACGUUACUAAGUCCAGCCUACACUCAAGGAAAGGAGAAUAAAGCUCCAACUUUCCUAGGGAGGAAUGUCAAAGAAUUGGUAGACAUACUUUAAAAUCAUCACACUGGGAAUUGAUAAAUUAUUUCAAUCUGAAGAUAAAAAUCUUUCUCUAGUUCAGGUAAGUCAUCUUCUAUUACUUAACAAAUUGUAAUAAUUUAUCUGCAUAUUGUUAAGGUUGUUCUUUUCUGUUGUUAAGAAAUUUCAGAAAGGAAAUGGGGCAAUUCUGGGGUGCCAAUGGAAAGAUACUAGUAUGCUGUAAAACCUCUGAAUUACCAAAUCUGUUGUAUUUGUCAUCUAGCCCCUAAAUCCUAUGGUUACUAUUAUAGUUAGUAUUAACUAUUGUUAUGUAUCAAUUUAUAACUAUAAUUAUAUUAUUAUAGUUAAAAUUACUAACCCCAACAUCCCUACUCGGUAUCUCUGGACUCUGAUAAUGAUAUAGUUACUGAUGUUUCAUAGAGCCUCAAAGAAACUCUAGAGACAUCAAGGAUAAAAAGGGAAGGAACAUGGACUAAUGAAAUAAGCUACAAUCCAAUUAUUU